CACGUAUGGGGCAAGCGUUGUUCGGAAUUAUUGGGCGUAAAGGGCGUGUAGGCGGCUUUGCAAGCUUGGUGUGAAAUAUCCCGGCUUAACCGGGAAAAUGCGCUGAGAACUGCAAGGCUAGAGUAUUGGGGGGGAAGCUGGAAUUCCUGGUGUAGGGGUGAAAUCUGUAGAUAUCAGGAAGAACACCGAUGGCGAAGGCAAGCUUCUAUCCAAAGACUGACGCUGAGGCGCGAAAGCGUGGGGAGCGAACAGGAUUAGAUACCCCCGUA
rnacentral:rRNA from 1 species